UGCAGCUUCACUGUGCUGUCUUAUUGGCAAAAAUAUCAGCUGAGAAAUUUAACUGAAAAGCUUUUAUUAAUUUGCAGCGUCACCUCAGUAAAGUCCCCCCCCCACACACACACACACACACAAAAAAGAAAUGAGAAAAAACACUGAGGUUAACUAUGCAUUAAAGAAUAUACAUACAAUAUGUUAGAAUUUGUGCUUUUUAAACUUAUAUACCUCCAAAUAAUAAUGACAGUAAUAUAACACAUAUCAGUAAGAGCUGUUUCUCAGGCAUAACUCUGGCUGGACUUCUUGGUGUGACGUGUGCAUCUAUUCCUUCUUCCAAACAGAAGAAGCACAGAGGCAUGGGGGAUGAGGGGUGGGUUUCCACCCUGCAAAGGUUUGCUGCUUCCAGCGUUUGGCUCUGAGGCAGGAAACAGAGCAGCACCACCAGAAGAAGUGGCCUGAUCUUUAUCUGAAGCCUUCCAGCAGCGUCCCGGUCACUUCCCCCAGCGCUCCAGAUCAUCCAGGUCCGUCAGCAGCAGCAUCUGGACAGACUGCUCCCGGGCCCUCUUUGACUUUGGCAUCGGCCUGCAGCUCCUCUGUGUCCUCUGUCACAUUCAGAACCACGACAAGCAGAGCACCGUCACCUGUCUGCAGUCCAGGACCUCAUCAGCCUCAUCCUCAGCUCCUCAAAUCCUCCUGUCCUCUACAACCACCUCUUUGUCCAUCUGCUCCUCCUCCAUCUGCUCCACCUCCACUGCUCCACCUCCAUCUGCUCCACCUCCGGCUGCUCCUCCUCCCACUGCUCCCUCUGAGCUCUCCUCAUCCGACCCUCUUCACGCUCCAGCAGCAGAAGCACAGCCUGCUCCAGGUUCUGAGCCUCGCUGGCUCCCAGCAGAGAUGAAUAAAAUAGACCUGCUCAGGACCAGAGAUGGAUUUCAGCCUCCAUCUGGAAAAACCAGCAACUGCAGUUAGACCUGAAGUUGUGGUCCACACCACCAGAGCCUGCUCUUAUUUCUCACCAGUUUCCUGCUCCAGAGUGGUUUUUCACCCACAGGCUCCUCCUGUGGAUGCUGGAUCACUGUGGAAAGUGAUUCUGCACUGGCCUGUAUGCAGAGAGCAGCUCACAGGUGCCGGUGUCCACAAGAGAGCUCGGACAGUCCUGGAUGUGUUCAGUGAUUUUUUUUUUUCAUUUUCUUAAUGGUGUUGUAUGUAAUUGUGUUGAAAUACUUUGCUGUACAUAAUUAGCUCAUAUAUCUCUUUGUGU